GAGCUGCGAGUGUUGAUAGUGGAGGAAAAAGAAGAGCACAAGGUUUUUGUACUCACGGCUUGACAAACUAUAAAUCAAGGGGAACUAAUCGGCAACAACGUUCGGGUAUGCAAACUUAAGGGGAAAUAGAAAGAAGACAGUGCAAGAUGGACGUCACGAUCAGACGACGGCGGAGGGGAUGUGACUCGCAGACUUCCAACAGUGAUAGCACGGACUCGGCGAUGGCGGAAAGCUCUAGAUAUGGGUUGUUCGACUUUGAUGAGAGCGACUCAGUGACAAAGACGGGCUCCAGAUCUAGAUGACAACACGGACGACGGCUCAGACAGCUACACAAUCGGCGGAUGGCAAAGAUCGCAACUCGCACAGAGAAGGUGGCGCUGGAGGGAGAAGAGGAGAGGAGAGACCUCGCAGGAGUUACUAAUGGGGGUAGAGGGUUUUGCGGAAACCUGAAGGUUAGAAAAUGAGGAUAGAUGGUGCAAAUUGUGAAGUUCUAUCAAAGACAAUAAAGAUAAUUGAAUUAAAAAAUUUUUUAAAAAUUUUAAUUAUCAAUUUAGGAGAACAGCUAAGUUUACAGAAAUUUUAAAAAGGUUGAAUAUUUAUUAAAAUGUUAAAAUUUUAAAAAUUAAUAUUUGUUUUGAUUUCAUAGAGGCUCUAUCCUUCAUUGAUUGUAACUUUGACCAUAAUCAUUCUCUCUCAGCAAUCAUUAAAAAUAUCAAAAAUCUUAUCAUAAAAAUUAAAAGAUUAUUUUUGAUCAUGUCUACAGAGAAGUUAAUCAUUGCAUAGAUUUUCUAGCCCAUAAGGUUUUAAGUGAGCAUUUUUAUAUUACUUUAUUUAACAAUCAUCUCAUGAAUUGUAAAAACAUUAUGGCUUCUAACAUGACCUGAACUUAGUUUUUUUACACUGUUUUUACUGUGGUCUUGCAGUAAAAAAAGGGCAAAAGGGCAAAAAUGCCUUGGAAUUUUUAUUCUAGGGGCGCCUAGCAUCUUAAACUUUUUUUAUGAGUAAUGUCACCUCGAAAGUUUCAAAAAAUGGUACAAUGUUGCCUUGACGUUAAAUCUAAUGAAUGUUGAUUGUUAAAUUCAAAGUUUGACCAAGGAAUUUAUAUGUGGCUUUUUAAUUUUGAUUUUUCCUUGCUAAUUCAUCACUCUAUGUGGAUUAGUGUGUGGUAUAUGUAAAACAUAUAGAAUCUGUAGGGUCCAAGUAAGGGAGUUGUAUUCAAGCCAUUUGGUCUGAGCUAGAGUUCGAAGAAGAGAGAACACGAGAAGGUUUGAGGGUUCAAGUCAAGCCAUCUGGUGCGAGCUAAGGUUUGAGUCAAGGUUGGAAGAGGGUUUAAUUCAAGCCAUAUAACUCUAAGGUGCACUAGUCAAGUGUUGAAGAGGGUUUGAAUCUAGUUUCUUGCUCUAAGGGUUCGAGUUGAGGUUUGAAAAGCUACGUAUGUCAACAAUCGAAUCUUUAAGGCUUCAUCAAAUAGUAGUCAUAAUAAAUCAUCGGCUUUUACAUGGUAAUGAAAACAUACUAAAUAAUGGUCCUAAGAAAGCACCCACAUGAGCUUAAGGAUCCUACAUGGAUCGAAUCAAAGCUUUUAUGUGAUAAGGAACAUGCUCAUCAUCAUCACAUUGGGCAUGUCAGAAUUUACUGAUGAGAUCCAUUUUUUAAGAAAGAAAUUGAUGACAUCUGCGCAUAUUGAGCACAAUAUUUUUUGGAUUGUGAGGUUUAGGUAGUUUUAGGAAGCUGUCUAGUCUUUUCAUAGCUUUAUUUAAUUUUUAUAGAAUUAAGAUUGUUAUUAUGUGAUUGAACUGUUCUGGCUAGUUGGAAUUAUUUUGUACUAUAAAUGAGUUGCAUUUUUCAUGUUAUAGGAAGAAGAAAUAUGUAGAAAUCAAUGUAAUAUAAAAAUAA